UGUUUCUGACGAGUGGCGGACGGGUGAGUAAUGUCUGGGAACUGCCUGAUGGAGGGGGAUAACUACUGGAAACGGUAGCUAAUACCGCAUAACACCAAAGAUUCGGGCCUCUUGCCAUCGGAUGUGCCCAGAUGGGAUUAGCUAGUAGGUGGGGUAACGGCUCACCUAGGCGACGAUCCCUAGCUGGUCUGAAGGAUGACCAGCCACACUGGAACUGAGACACGGCCCAGACUCCUACGGGAGGCAGCAGUGGGGGAUAUUGCACAAUGGAGGAAACUCUGAUGCAGCGACGCCGCGUGAGUGAAGAAGUAUUUCGGUAUGUAAAGCUCUAUCAGCAGGGAAGAAAUGACGGUACCUGACUAAGAAGCCCCGGCUAACUACGUGCCAGCAGCCGCGGUAAUACGUAGGGGGCAAGCGUUAUCCGGAUUUACUGGGUGUAAAGGGAGCGUAGACGGCGACGCAAGUCUGAAGUGAAAUACCCGGGCUCAACCUGGGAACUGCUUUGGAAACUGUGUUGCUAGAGUGCUGGAGAGGUAAGCGGAAUUCCUAGUGUAGCGGUGAAAUGCGUAGAUAUUAGGAAGAACACCAGUGGCGAAGGCGGCUUACUGGACAGUAACUGACGUUGAGGCUCGAAAGCGUGAGGAGCAAACAGGAUUAGAUACCCUGGUAGUCCACGCCGUAGACGAUGAAUACU
rnacentral:rRNA from 1 species